ACGCCGACCAAUUUUUACUAAUCAGCUUAAACUAUAUAUAAUUUGAGUCAACCCGCGACCGUGGAACGUGUAACCGUUCUGAAAUAUCGGGAAAAUAAAAAGAAAUCGUGAAAUAUCGUGGCAUUGCACAUCCUGUCCGGAAAGCCGGUGCCCGCAACAAAAUGCUAACAGAACUCCUUUGUACGACUAUGCUAAUAUAUAUAGCUGCCUGCCCUUGGUUCUCCUAGUCGAUUUAUUACUUUUUUAGAUGUCAUUUCAUACAAAGAAAGAGCAGUGUAUCUCCACAGAUGGGUUUCAACUUCGAAAGGUGCUGCAGCAAAACUUUGCAAGUCUUCAACACUGUACGCGAAUAAAACUGCAAAGCGUCC